CCCGUGCCUGCAUGCCCACCUCUCGUUUCUCCUUUUCCCCUCUCUCUCUCACGCCUUAGAUUGGAUCGAGCAUCCAACUCGCUGCCGACCCCGCCUCCUGAGCUCCAUUGUCCAUCACCAGUCCGGGCUCCCUCGUCCACCACAAGUCCGUGCUCCCUCCCCGGUGCUCCUCCACGCCCACGCUGGGGGCCACGGCGGCCGCCAUCGAUCAAGAGGAACAAGGGGGUAGGGGAGCACCUGGGCGCCGUGAGCCACAAUCGGUGCCGCCUUACUCCCCCUCGAACUGUGCCAGCCAAUACAGUUGUAGUCGCACCUCCACCGCCGGCAUCUCCCCCGGCAGGCCAUCUCUGCCACGGCCAUCUCGUCGCCCUCACCUGUUCAUCUAGAUGUUCUUAGCCAUGGCCAUCUACUCCAUCUCAGUACAAUGUGCCAGAUUGGUGGAAAUAUUCUGAUUUGUUUGCGAAAUUCCUGAUGAAUAAAAUUGACACUUUAGUUUUUGGUUCAAUUUCAGUUCAAAUUUGUUCUACUUGUUCCAUGGAAUGGUCCAGAUCCAAUUGGAAAUUUUGAAUGGUUGAAAUUGGAAGAGAAGAGUUUACAGAAUUAAGCCCAAUUCAGCCUACCAAACAACAUCUGUCGCGGAUAGCAUCCCUCAUGCAUCCAUAUCAUGCAGUCAACCAAACCCACAUCUCACUCCAUCCUUGCAUCCACUCAAGCAGGCCAGGCUCACCCAGGAUGCCUCAUGCGAUGCAGGCUAGAGCCACCCAGACAACCAAACACGCCCUAAGUGAUCGAUGGGUAAAGGAGCGUGUCCCUUCUAUAAAUAAAUAAUUAUUUACCAAAGCUAAUCUCUGUUCCGUGAGUGGUGCUCCCGGGUGGCCGUUGCAAGACAACGAUUCCACCAGCCGUCUCGUGCGGGGCGACGCGUGUCGCCUAGGCCCCAUGCACCGCUAUUUCAACCUUAUCUUCUCAGGGACUCAUCCUCAUCUUCUCAUGCCUUUUCUUCUCCCCGUCAUUGAUUACCUUCCUCUCUUCUCCUCCCUUCCACAGCUCUCGAUCUAGAUCGGAUAGAGGCCACCACCGAGCCAUCCUCGAGCGCCUCCUUUCUUCCUCCACGCGCUCAGCGCCCAAAUCAACAUGUCGAGCCCUCGCGCACAUCGCCCGACCGGAGCUCUAGCGCCUCCUCGCAACACCCUCCUUUCUCCUUCUUCCUCUCUCCAUCCCCUGCCUCUCGGUUCUUUCUUUUUCCCUUGGCCAUGCAGGGAGCACCCACAGGGAGCCUCGCCGCUGCUGCCACCACCCGGACAUCGUCGCGCCACCGCCUCCUCCGAGUUCGACAACCCUAGCACUCGUCCUUCCCUGCACCCUCUGCCUCGCCAUGCGUGAGGACAAUGAUGACAGCGCGCCGCCAUCGACCGUAUCGGGCCGUCCUUCUCGCCUCGCUCGCAUGGGCCGCACUGCACGCGGGCAAGCCGGCCCUUGCCGGUGGAAGUGUCGGUGCGGCAAGGCCGCUCGGGCUAGGUGAUGGCAACCGUGACUCUCCUUUGCAUUCGUUCUUUAUUAUCCCAUCUGCAUCUCUGCUUUCCUCACCGAAGAUGUUGAAUCCGAUGUUGCUGAUUGCGAGGUCGAGGAGGCCGGGGUUGCGGAGGACUGCGGAGCAGCCUGGCUGGCGCCUUGGGGUGGCGCGAGGAGAGGCGCGACGGGCGCUGCUGCUGGUCGCCGGCGACGGCGAGUGGAGAAGGGCCGCACAGAGUGGAUAAGAUGAAGGGGAGGACUGCUGACAGAAUUCAAAUGACUAUAGGGUUUCUUUUGUAAAAGUGAAACGUUUUCCUAGGUUGCCAUUAAAACAGGGACUGCGGGUUGAUUUAAUGUAAAUCGAGGGGCUUUUUUUGCAAAACAGCCACGACGGACGACCAGAAGCAAUCGCUGGUUUAUUAGUAGGUAAGAUUGAUUGUCUUCCUUAUGAGUGGCGGUCGGGGACGAGCGAUGGUCUUUUGCUACCAAUCUAUCCCCUAGGAGCAUGUGUGUAGUACUUUGUUUUGAUGACUAAUAGAUUUUUGCAAUAA